GGCUGUUCCUGCACUUGUGCACUGGGGCCGUGAUGACCAGCUUGGCGCAGGCCUCGAUGGCGCUCGGCACCGGCCUCUCCUCUUGUCCCCACUCACUUUAGGCCUGCGGUGGAGUCCUCGCCUCUCCCGGGGACGCUGCAGUUCUCCAGGGUCCGAAGGCCGGAGAAGUCCAGGGAUGCGAGGUUCCUCAGCUUCUGCUCACCUGGCGCUGGAACUUGCAGCAGCCGGCGAGGUGGCCUCGGGAGACGACCAGGUGACCUGGUCUCCCGACAGGCCCGUGUUGUAGAGCACUGUCCUUCCACCAGGAGAAGCCCAGGGCCACACAGGCUGCAGAAGCCCGCAAGGGUGCAGUCUCUCACCGGCACCAGGCAGGGUUCCACCAAUGAGUGAGACCCUGUCAAAGUGAUGUUUGCACUACAAUCUCCAACAUGACAAAUCAACCUACUGCAGAUCUGGUGGGAGAGAGCUCCGACAAUAGACGCAAAGACCCUGAAAAGGAAAUAAACCCUAAGGUGUCCACGGAUCCAAAAGGAGGUCAUGCUGAAGGAGAUGGGGCUCUGACGCUGUAACAGAGCUUUGCGUAUUUUUCAGAGCUGGAGAGGAAGACAAUAGUUAUGUUUUGAGCAGGGCGGUGACAUCCCUGCGAGGAUCAUUUCAGCUUCUGAGAAGAGAAAACUUAACCAUAGAACAGCAGAGGUCAGAAGGAAUCCGGGAAGUCCACAGUGACGACGUGGCGUGGACUGGGUAGAGAGGGACUUAGUGAGAAGAGUGGUACUUUUUGCUGCUCCUCCCCUGCCCUCCCAUCUCACCUGUGCUCCUGUUCUUGUUUUUGUUAACUUAGUGUAACAGUUGGUGAGUGCGUAUUGUAUCUUGGUGUCAGGUUUCGUUGCCUCUGUCACCUCUAGUUCCCUUUUCUCUAUCCUUUACUUCCUCGUUAUUGCUUCUUGACCCUAUUUCUCUUUCAUUUCCUCUGUAGUGAGGCCUUAUAAAGUUCAAUUUGCUUUCCUUCACCGAUAGACCUGGAUUUCUAAUCUUUUCUAGGCUAAGGGAGCAUAUGAAGAGUCUAAUUUAGCCGGACUAGGUAACUAAAAAUAUUAUGACCUAGACUCGCCCGAUUAGGUGCCUGUAGAAUAGAUUUGCAUCAUAGCACUGACUGGCAAUGAAAAUGCUUCAUCUAAAGGAAGCUGCGAGAAGAUGACAUGUCUGUCCUGCACGUGGAACCAGGUGAGACGCUAACUCCAUUUUAAUUUGGCUGUGUUUAGUCUUGUUUGGUGUUGAGAAUGAAUCAAUGAAUGAAUAAAUUAGUGAAUGAAAAAAUAAAAACAAUGCAAGAG
ensembl:lincRNA